rnacentral:rRNA from 1 species
UACGUAGGGACCGAGCGUUGUCCGGAAUCAUUGGGCGUAAAGAGCGUGUAGGCGGCCAAUUAAGUCCUGCGUGAAAUCUCGGGGCUCAACCCCGAGCGGUCGUGGGAAACUGGUUGGCUAGAGUGCGGGAGAGGAGAGUGGAAUUCCUGGUGUAGCGGUGAAAUGCGCAGAUAUCAGGAAGAACACCCGUGGCUAAGGCGGCUCUCUAGUACGGUACUGACGCUGAGACGCGAAAGCGUGGGGAGUGAACAGG